UAGUCCACGCAGUAAACGAUGAUUACUAGGAGUUUGCGAUACAAUGUAAGCUCUACAGCGAAAGCGUUAAGUAAUCCACCUGGGGAGUACGCCGGCAACGGUGAAACUCAAAGGAAUUGACGGGGGCCCGCACAAGCGGAGGAACAUGUGGUUUAAUUCGAUGAUACGCGAGGAACCUUACCCGGGUUUGAACGUAGUCUGACCGGAGUGGAAACACUCUUUCUAGCAAUAGCAGAUUACG
rnacentral:rRNA from 1 species